CUGCACUGAUGUUUUAAGCUAAUGUGUUGCACACAUAUUUAAGUACUUAGCCUUGGAUGGCAGUGGAGGAAUAAAUUAUGAUUGCUUACUCCAUUAACAUCAGUGGCAUGUACAUUCCAGUGCUGAACUAAGAUUUCAGGACUCUACAUUUUGAGAUUUGUUGGGAAUUCAAAAUUAAUUUAAAAAUUUAAGGCCAAAGUAAAAACAGCAUUGACUUAGAU